UGGUUCAAUUUUAGACCCGCACGAUGAUUCCUUUAUCUUCAUCGUCCCACCCUAAAACCCUGAAAAUUUUCAUUCAAAAUUCAACCUUUUUGAUGUUCUGAUUUCUUAGCCACACACACAAUUAUAGAUUUUAUGCAAAAAAAAAAAAAAAAUUAUAGUGGGUCAUCAUCAGUACUGACAGAAAUGACAGCAAUAUCACCAACUUGGUUGUAUCAAGAUAGAGGAUUGAGAAGUAUGGUUCCUUUAGGUGGUUUUGUUGCUGAGAAGUCCAGCUUCCAACACUUGCAGACAACAUUUGCAGGUUCUUUUUCAGCAUCAAAAUGGUGGCGGGUUAGGAUUGGUUUUAGCAGUCGACUUAAAAGGGCUCCUUUAUGUCCUUCUAUAAAAUGCAAGAACGGAGAGGAGGGCUCCUUUGAGCAGGUGUCCGUUGAGCGUGCACCGUAUUACAGUUAUAUGGACUCCACAUCUGGGCAGCUUGAACCAGCUUCUGGUGCUCGUGCAAGUAUUCCGGGGCAAGAGUACUGGCCAGAAGGCACAGCCAGUCAAGUUAGGGCUGCCAGGGCUCCUGAACCAACUGGUGUUUCAGCAGGAUCUCCGUCUUUUGGCAGAAGUCCUGGAAGUAGGAGAAAAAAAAAUAAGGCAUCUGUUGCUCCUCCUGGCUCUUCAGAGAUGACUGUAGUUUUUGAUGAUCAGGUGGAAGUUGAAACUUCAGAUGAUGAAAUGAAAGAGGUUAAAGAUCUCUCUUCAGAAUUCAUCGUUUAUCAGACAGAAUCUCAGAAAGUGGAGCUAACUGAGUAUGAAUUGGACAAGAAACUUGGUCGCCCUCACCCAUUUAUUGACCCAAAGACAAAGAAGCCAAUAGAGCAGGCACUUACAAGUGAAGAACUAUGGUGGAACUGGAGAAAGCCAGACAAGGAACAGUGGUCCAGAUGGCAAAGGAGGCGUCCUGAUGUUGAGACGGUGUUUCUUAAAGCCAUGGCAGAAACUGGGCAAAUAAAGCUAUAUGGUGAACAUCCAACAUUGACUGAGACUUCUCUUUAUAGAGCAAGACGGCAUAUUUACAAAGAGGAAAGGCUGCAGGUUGAACAAGAAAGACUGGAAAGAAUAGGUCCAAUAGCAUACUACUCUGAAUGGGUUAAAGCAUGGAAGAGGGACACUUCGCGUGAAGCUGUUCAGAAACAUUUUGAACAGACUGGUGAAGAUGAAAACAUGCAACUCAUUGAAAUGUUCUCACAUCAAACUGAUCGAGAGUAUCGCAUAAUGAUGGGGACUGAUAUGCGCAUUCCCAGGGAUCCUUUGGCAAUGCGAAUGCGGGAGGAUCAAAUAAAGCAAAUAUGGGGUGGUGAUCCAGUUUACCCAACAGUGAACUAUAUUCAAGAUCCAGAUGAGGUGAUUGAUUUCAGGGGUCCAGAUUUUCAUGAACCAACACCCAAUAUGCUGGCUUAUCUGAAAGAGCAUGGCAAAAUAAUAUCGAGAGACGAGCUUGAGAAAAUCCUGGCCAAAGAGAAGACUGUGGAACUUGAGAUACCAGAUAUGGAUGAAGCUAUGGCAAAAGCUGUUGACAUUGGUGAAAAUGAUGAUGGAGAGGAUAGUGAAGCUGAGGGUGAGGAUGAAGAGGAGGAGAAAAUUACACGCAAUUGGAGUGUUCUAAAAAGUACUCCUGAGCUACGCAAGUCAAAGGGUAAACCAAAGAAGGAAGACAUGUCUAUUGGAGAAGCUAUAGUUGAUUCUGAGAACUUAACUGAUUUUCUUAUGGACUUUGACGAGGAGUGAUAUUUCUCAGUUUUUCAAUUUUUGAGAUGGAGCCAUGGAGGAUCAUUGGGCGUAACUCGUACACCCCUGCCAUUUCUAAAGCUUAUUGGAUAACAGCAGUUCAUGCUCAAGCCCAACAAGUUAAACGAAGCAAAUGCUACUACAUACAUGGACAGGAUCUAUGGUUGCUGUGCAAUUGGUAACGAUUGGGCUCGUGACUACUGAGCAUGCCUUAAUGUUGCUGUGAUGCUUAGAUUGCACCUGGAAAGAAUCGUUUUAUUGAGAGAGAUGUAAGCCGGAAGUUCGAAGAAAGUUGCAGCAUGUUUCCUCUCCCCUCAGAUAAGAGAGAACUAAAUCCGCAAUGAGAAGUUCUUGUAUUGUAUAUGUAUGAGAAUUCAGUGAUUAGCAUAAGAAACAGCAUGCAACAUAAAGAAUACUUUAAUCAUUUUGGUUCAAGGGAAUGUGUAGGUUUGCACAGUUCAAACAUGAAUUGCAGCUAUUGUAUGUUUCCUUACUAAUUACGGAUCGACCAUAAUUUCUUCGAAUUAGUUUGCAAUUUUUUUUUUCCCCAGAAUUUUCAUUUUGAGAGUAAUUGUGUCACUAAAUUUAUUUGGUCAAUGUACAACAGGAUUCAUAUGGUAUCUGUAAUAGGAUUUUUAUGUUCUUUUAUGGUGUAAUAGAAGUUUUUAAAAA